UCGGGUUUCUAAAAGCUAUUUCAACCCCCCUCCCAGUUACUGCCACCCUCUCCCAGGUCUAGAGAGGGGUACCCACGGUGGAGGGAGGUGGGAGGCCGAGACGGCCCCGGGGGUCGGCGGAGACCCAGCGGGAGCAGGGGGAAAUCGGAAGAGCUGGGGGCAUGGAGCGGGCGAGUUUGGAGCGGAAUGAGCCGGGAGCCCUACGUUGUGGAAGGAAGACAACAGUAUAGGACCAUCAGCAGGACCGGACAGAGAGGGGCACGUAAGCAGUAAUUACUGGAUGGCAUAGUAAUUCUACUAAAAAUUAAAAUGCCACUUAUUGGAAUGGUGUGUGAACACUCUAAAGCAACCCGGGAAGAAGACAGCAGUCAAGAAGACCAAGGAAGGAAAUGGAGGAGGGAUGACCCCACCAUUACAGGCAGGGAAGGACUGACCAAAGAGACAGAAAUGUAGUCUAGGAAAUGUGUCAUCUUAGAAAGGAACGGGAAGGGGCUGGAGAGGUGGCUCAGAAGUAAAGAGCAGUGGAUGCUCUUUCAGGGGACCUGAGUUGGCCUCCUAAUGUCUUCAGGUACCUCCUAACUGCAUGUAACUCCAGCUCCGGGAGAUUCUGGAUUCUUCUGGUCUCCACGGCACUGCGUUCACGCGCACGCGCGCGCGCACACACACACACACACACACACACACACAAAUUAAUCUUAGAAAAGCAUAGGAAGCCUGAUUUUUUGUUUGUUUGUUUGUUUUGGGGUUUUUUUUUUGUUUGUUUUGUUUUGUUUUUGAGACAGGGUUUCUCUGUAUAGCCCUGGCUGUCCUGGAACUUGUAGACCAGGCUGGCCUUGAACUCAGAAAUCCGCCUGCCUCUGACUCCCGAGUGCUGAGAUUAAAGGUGUGCACCACCACACCCGACAAGGAAGCCUGUUUUAAGAAGUGAUUCCAUGGAGGAGUUCUGCGGCGGCUCAGGGCUUGACUAAACAGUGGACCUCAGUAGACAAGAGAGGCUAAACCAGGCUGCAGGUGACAGGAAGAAUUGAAUAAACUGAAAGCAAAGGGCAGCCUUCUAAUUACGCUUCGUGGCUAUGUGGACAACCUGGAGAAGUCUGGAAACAAGCCAGAAGCCCGAAGCCAGCAGUAGAGCUCUGACUGGCUUGUAUGCCUAGAAAGGAAGGGCUCUUCUUUCGCCUCACGGGCACAAAUGGGACCCACGAGCGCCGAUUUCAGACUAUUCUGAUCCCUUCAAAAAGAAAGUUAGGAGUCCAGGCUACUUCACUUUGGUGAUAGUAAUCAAACCCUAAUCACGGUGCAGCCACAAGUCACAGAGACCGAAAUAGCAGACUUAUGACAGACAAGGAUGGAGACAGCUAAGGAACUGGCUAUUAAUCACCAGUCCCUCUGCUCACAGCCCAUUGGACCCGAGGGUGAAGGAUGAGGAGGAUGGAAGAAAAUGGGAGUGGCGCUUGCUGCAAAGGGUCUCGAAGGGUCUCAGCACCUGCGAACUGGCUCCAAUCCAAACUCCACUAUUCAUGGUCAAGUUCACAUAGGGCUUGGGGUUCUAACAAGAUGUGACUAAACUUACGUUUUCUAUCUUAUUGAUUGUUGUUGAUGCACGUCUGGUGGUACAUGCUUGAAGAACACAGACACCCUGAGAAGAAAGACAUAGCUCCCCAGAUUCCAGCACGCACUUCUCUGUGAGCUACCACUGUAGCUGAAGAUACAGGGCUCAGGAGGAACACUUGGCCUUCGCUCUGAACUUCAGGCCCACGUAACCAUCAGCCGACAUGACACUGCAAAGGCACCUUAGCUCUGCUGUCCCAGAUGGCCAAGCCAACCUUAUUCCAGAAGCUACUUCUCCUGAUGUAAGAACCAGACACAAAGGACAACCUCUGCCUCACCCUCCUUCACACAACACUGAGUCUGUCAUCUUUGAAGCAUUUCUCAAGCCAUGUUUAUUCCCCUGGCCUACGUGGAACACAGCCAGGGUACGGAACACAACCUCAGCACCGGUCUGCUUUCCUCUCCCCAUUUCUGGUCUUUCUCAGAUGCCCAGAGCUCCUCUGUCCCAAUGACUGCUUAUCAAAGAUCUCACUGUGUCCCCACCCAAGGGGUCUUUGGCCACCCUGUGAAGUCCUAGUGGCCUGGAGUUUGCCCCCUUUCCCAGACACCUUAGGGUUCCUGCUGCAGCUCCAGAACUGGGGGAGCAGGGUUGGGGGUGAGUGUGUGUGUGUGUGUGUGUGUGUGUGUGUGUGUGUGUGUUGACUCACCCUGCAGUAUUCUCUCCAUCUGCACAGGUCCCCAGUCUCUGAGACUGAAUCACCCCUCUUUCACUAUGCCUCUGCACAGCUGCCCUUGUGCUCCCUCUCCUUGCCCCGCCUCUUUUUAAGACAGUAUUAUGCAGCCCUGGCUGUCCUGGAACUUAUGUAAACCAGCCUGGCCUUGAACUUGCAGAGAUCCACCUGCCUUUGCCUCUGCCCCUGCCCCUGCCCCUGCCGCCCCUGCCCCUGCCUUUCUGCCUCUGCCUCUGCCUCUCUGCCUUUCUGCCUCUGCCUCUCUGCCUCUGCCUCUCUGCCUCUGCCUCUCAAGUGUCAGGGAUUAAUGCCUGCCACCUCCCCAGUCCCACCCCUCUCCAUCUACCAUGUGGGUUCCACGGGGCAAACCCAAGUCAUCAGGCUUGUUGGCCAGUGCCUUUAUCCACUGAGCCAAGCCGCUUGGUGUGUCUUUGAUGGUGAUUAUUUACAGGAGCUAUUCAGCAAGGUUAAAUGCUGGCAACCCAAUGAGGGGGUCUCUUGAUCCAAAACUGAGAAGUUGAGGCACUAUUUCAGAAUGACCAAAGACAGUAGAAGAAUCUAGAUAUGUCGAUGAUGAGAACAAUGAUAACUCCAAAAGCUGAGGGAAAUUAACUCAAAAUCUUCCAGCUUCCUUUUCCUUACCUAGUUUGGCGGACUCCAACUCUUGGGAUAGCUUUUUUUCUGGCCCCAAACUCACCUGAUUCGUCUGUCCACUGCCACACUGAAGAAUGAACAGCUGUCUCAGAGAGCUUGGCUCCAGAGCUCUGCAAAAAGAGGACACCUUGCCUUGAGCUGUGUUUCCAGAAUGUAUUGCAGCCCCCAGAGUCAUGUACUGUGACCAGGUGAGGACAUGCAUCUUCUGUUCUCCUGCACCCAGGGCCCCAGCAACCAAGGAUCUGGGGACAUGGCGGGUGUUUGGCAGGUUCGCACUCUGAAAAUAUUUGAUGAGACUCAGUAUAUGCUAAAUAAACACUGGAUCAAGUUCUUGGUCUCUCCUUUGGGGAAUUUACAGUCUAUCCUACAGAGAAGAUUGAAA
rnacentral:lncRNA from 1 species